GCUGGGUGUGGUGGUACGCACCUGUAAUCCCAGUGGCUUGGGAAGCUGAGACAGGAGAAUGGCGAUUUCAAAGCCAGCCUCAGCAAAAAAACGAGGCGCUAAGCAACUCAGUGAGACCUUGUCUCUA
rnacentral:sRNA from 1 species